rnacentral:rRNA from 1 species
CCGAAACCAGGCGAUCUAUCCAUGGCCAGGGUGAAGGUUGGGUAACACUAACUGGCGGCCCGAACCCACUUAUGUUGAAAAAUGAGGGGAUGAGCUGUGGAUAGGAGUGAAAGGCUAAUCAAGCCUGGAGAUAGCUGGUUCUCCGCGAAAUCUAUUUAGGUAGAGCGUCAUGUAUCACUUCAGGGGGUAGAGCACUGUCUCGGCUAGGGGGUCAUCCCGACUUACCAAUCCGAUGCAAACUCCGAAUACCUGAAAGUGCAAUCAUGGCAGACAGACGGCGGGUGCUAACGUCCGUCGUCAAAAGGGAAACAACCCAGACCGCCAGCUAAGGUCCCGAAAUAACAGUUAAGUGGGAAACGAUGUGGGAAGGCAUAGACAGCUAGGAGGUUGGCUUAGAAGCAGCCACCCUUUAAAGAAAGCGUAAUAGCUCACUAGUCGAGUCUGCCCGUGCGGAAGAUUUAACGGGGCUCAAACUGUUUACCGAAGCUGCGGGUGUGCGCGCGUUCGCGCGUGUACGCGGUAGCGGAGCGUUCUGUAAGCCUGCGAAGGUGUGCUGUAAGGCACACUGGAGGUAUCAGAAGUGCGAAUGCUGACAUGAGUAACGAUAAGGGGGGUGAAAAACCCCCCCGCCGGAAGACCAAGGUUUCCUGCGCAACGCUAAUCGGCGCAGGGUAAGUCGGCCCCUAAGGCGAGGGCGAAAGCCGUAGUCGAUGGGAAACAGGUUAAUAUUCCUGUACUUGUAAUUAUUGCGAUGGAGGGACGGAGUAGGCUAGGCUAGCGCAGCGAUGGUUGUCUGCGUUUAAGCGUGUAGGCCGGGGAUUUAGGUAAAUCCGGAUCCCUCUCUUUAAUUAGAGAAGGCUGAGACGUUAUGACGAACUGGGUCAACGUACCCGGGAAGUAGUUGAUGCCAUGCUUUCAAGAAAAGCUUCUAAGCUCUAGAUAAUUACGAACCGUACCCCAAACCGACACAGGUGGUCAGGUAGAGAAUACCAAGGCGCUUGAGAGAACUCGGGUGAAGGAACUAGGCAAAAUAGCACCGUAACUUCGGGAGAAGGUGCGCCGCAGACAGUGAUCGGAUUUACUCCGUAAGCUGUCUACGGUCGAAGAUACCAGGUGGCUGCGACUGUUUACUAAAAACACAGCACUCUGCAAACACGUAAGUGGACGUAUAGGGUGUGACGCCUGCCCGGUGCUUGAAGGUUAAUUGAUUGGGUUAGCCCUCUUUUCGAAGAGAGCGAAGCUCAUGAUCGAAGCCCAAGUAAACGGCGGCCGUAACUAUAACGGUCCUAAGGUAGCGAAAUUCCUUGUCGGGUAAGUUCCGACCUGCACGAAUGGCGUAACGAUGGCCACGCUGUCUCCACCUAAGACUCAGUGAAAUUGAAUUUGCGGUUAAGAUGCCGUAUACCCGCGGCUAGACGGAAAGACCCCGUGAACCUUUACUACAGCUUUACACUGGACUUUGAUCUUAUCUGUGUAGGAUAGGUGGGAGACUUUGAAACGUGGACGCCAGUUUGCGUGGAGUCAACCUUGAAAUACCACCCUGAUGAUAUUGAGGUUCUAACUUAGGCCCGUUAUCCGGGUUGAGGACAGUGUAUGGUGGGUAGUUUGACUGGGGCGGUCUCCUCCCAAAGAGUAACGGAGGAGCGCGAAGGUACCCUCAGCAUGGUCGGAAAUCAUGCAAUGAGUGCAAUAGCAUAAGGGUGCUUGACUGCGAGACAGACACGUCGAGCAGGUACGAAAGUAGGUUAUAGUGAUCCGGUGGUUCUGCAUGGAAGGGCCAUCGCUCAACGGAUAAAAGGUACUCCGGGGAUAACAGGCUGAUACCGCCCAAGAGUUCACAUCGACGGCGGUGUUUGGCACCUCGAUGUCGGCUCAUCACAUCCUGGGGCUGAAGCCGGUCCCAAGGGUA